GCUAGAUUAGACAACACCGCUAGAUUAGACCACAGGCACCACCGCUAGAUUAGACCACAGGCACCACCGCUAGAUUAGACAACAGGCACCACCGCUAGAUUAGACAACACCGCUAGAUUAGACAACAGGCACCACCGCUAGAUUAGACAACAGGCACCACCGCUAGAUUAGACAACACCGCUAGAUUAGACCACAGGCACCACCACUAGAUUAGACCACAGGCACCACCACUAGAUUAGACCACAGGCACCACCACUAGAUUAGACAACAGGCACCACCACUAGAUUAGACCACAGGCACCACCACUAGAUUAGACCACAGGCACCACCGCUAGAUUAGACCACAGGCACCACCGCUAGAUUAGACCACAGACAACACCGCUAGAUUAGACAACACCGCUAGAUUAGACCACAGGCACCACCACUAGAUUAGACAACAGACACCACCGCUAGAUUAGACAACACCGCUAGAUUAGACCACAACACCACUAGAUUAGACAACAGGCAACACCGCUAGAUUAGACCACAGGCACCACCGCUAGAUUAGACCACAGGCACCACCGCUAGAUUAGACCACACCGCUAGAUUAGACCACAGGCACCACCACUAGAUUAGACAACACUGCUAGAUUAGGCACCACCACUAGAUUGGACAACAGGCACCACCGCUAGAUUAGACAAGAGGCACCACCGCUAGAUUAGACAACAGGCACCACCGCUAGAUUAGACCACAGGCACCACC
ensembl:lncRNA